rnacentral:rRNA from 1 species
UACAGAGGGUGCGAGCGUUGUUCGGAAUUAUUGGGCGUAAAGGGCGCGUAGGCGGUGCGGUAAGUCACCUGUGAAAUCUCCUGGCUCAACUGGGAACUUGCAGGCGAAACUGCCGUGCUGGAGUGUGGGAGAGGUGCGUGGAAUUCCUGGUGUAGCGGUGAAAUGCGUAGAUAUCAGGAGGAACACCUGUGGCGAAAGCGGCGCACUGGACCACAACUGACGCUGAGGCGCGAAAGCUAGGGGAGCAAACAGG